GCCAGUGUGGUGUAGUGGUUUGAGCACUGGAAUAUGACUCCUACGACCAGGGUUCAAAUCCCUGCUCAGCCC